rnacentral:rRNA from 1 species
CUAAGAAUAUUCCGCAAUGGACGAAAGUCUGACGGAGCGACGCCGCGUGGAUGAAGAAGGCCGAAAGGUUGUAAAGUCCUUUUGCUGGGGAAGAAUAAGCGUGGGAGGGAAUGCCCGCGUGAUGACAUGAACCGGCGAAUAAGCCCCGGCUAACUACGUGCCAGCAGCCGCGGUAACACGUAGGGGGCGAGCGUUGUUCGGAAUUACUGGGCGUAAAGGGCAUGUAGGCGGCCUUGUAAGCCUGGCGUGAAAGUCCAUGGCUCAACCAUGGGAUUGCGUUGGGAACUGCGAGGCUUGAGUGACGGAGAGGGAGCUAGAAUUCCUGGUGUAGGGGUGGAAUCUGUAGAGAUCAGGAAGAAUACCAAUGGCGAAGGCAAGCUCCUGGCCGAUGACUGACGCUGAGGUGCGAAAGUGUGGGGAUCAAACAGG